rnacentral:lncRNA from 1 species
GAAUGUUGGGAACCGAUCUGAUUCCAAGGAUUGAGAAGUUUUGCAGUGGUCAACUGGUAUAGACAUCCCAUUACCACUACUUCCUUCAUUGGACUGCAAGGUAUUUCUGUUUGGAAAAGUAAUGGAGUCCAGUCAACUUCAUUGAUCGCCAAGGACUGUCAAAAUUAUAAAACUUGCUGUGGAGCUCUGACAUGCCAGAAGCCGCUAGAAAAAGAAGUUUGACAUUCAGAAACUUAUCAAGAGGUUCUACUCUUUGGAUAGAGACCAAAAUCAUACUUUGAAUGAUAUGCAAUGCAAGACUCCCAAGAUUCUGGGCAGUGGCAGGGAGGUGCAGCUUCUAGUCUGCCGCAUGAUCACAAUGUCAGCUGGUCCCUCUUCUCAGGUGUAGAUCACCUAUUAUAAUUUUACCUAAUUUUGAUACUCUGAUAAGGAAAGUCCCAGGACUUAUCAGCUGGGAUAGGCCUCACUUACAAGACAGCUCUGUUCAGUAUUUGGAAGAAAGCCUGACAGGUUUCUUCGGAAAAGUGGCCAUCCAUGGAAUGAAUGAAAUGUUCUCUUUCUAUUCCAGGGAUUGCAGUGGCAAAGCUAGGCUAGGUCUUGGAGGCUGGUGUAAGGCGAUGUGGGUGAAGGCAGGAGGCUGAUGGAAAGACUGGGGGGAAGAAAAGCCGAAAUGGAUUCACGGUGCCUUGGAUGAAGGACGAGAGGGGAACUGCAAGCUCCUUCAACUGGUUCUGUCCGGUGAGAAGUGAUCAAGCUUGGGCUGACAAGAGGCUCAGGGAGCCCUCACGUUCUUUCGCUUUUUUACCUGCCAAUCAAACUGCUACAAGACAACACCCUGAUCUGGCAUGGACAUAUCCAACUUAGAAAUAAUGUUUCAUUCAAGAUAAGGCUCGUGGCUUAGGAGAUUGUGACCUGGCUUGCAUCAUUCUAAGACUUCUAUCGUCUGUUUUCAAAACCCAAGGAGGACCUCCUUUUCUGUGUGAUAGUUCCUCAUGCUUUGCCAGCCACUGGGUCUUUAAGGAAGCUUGCCAAGAGUUCCCGGCUGGGAAGGACAGUUCGAGUUCAUCAUAGACAAUGAGCUGGCACCACAGUUUAAGUGACUCACCAACCUGGUUGCCCACUUCAAAAUGUCAAGAACCACACUAUCUAAUUGAAAGAACUGUGUUUUAGCAAAGUGUAAUUGGAUCGCCUGGCAAGAUCAUCUCAAACUAUGUCUCUGACCUUGCCUUUCAGUGGCUAUUUUGAGCACAAGAGGAGAAAGGAAAUGAUUCCUGAAUUAUAUCUUGUUUUUAAAAAUUAAGAUUAAUUAAUACUUGGUUUUAUGUUCAUUCCAUUGUAGGAACUUAGUGAUUAUUACAAAACAGUCAAAAUAGGUCAUAGCAAAAUGAACGUUUAAGAUUAGGUUAAAACAUUCCUCUGAAAUUUUAGUAUUCACUUUUGAAGUGUCAAUUACUAUAUUUCUGUAAUUUCUCAUUUUUUUCUUGGCUUAGAGUCAAGAUGAAAAAUGAUAUUUGAAUCAAAGACAUUGUUUUGUUAUAUAGCCACUCCUUUCUAAAAUGCAAAUCCACCCUCCCCUCACCAAUGCUUUAUUCUUUGUGCGCGCACACACACACACACACACACACACACACACACACACACACAGACAUACACAGAACCAGCACCCAAAUGGUAGAGGAGGUCCUUCCAAGACUUCUAGGACCUGGAUCAUGUAAGCAGUAGAUGAGAAAAUGAAGUAAGAGAUAUAGAGUAAUAACAAUAAAAGUCAAUGAUUUCAUUUUACAAAAAAGUCAUUGUGUAGUACUCAGAUAUUUUUAAGAGCAAGUAUUAUUAUGACUAAAGUAUAUUAUACUUCUAAAUUAUUAUGAUUCUCAUCUAAUUUCAAGCCACACAUAGGCGCCAUUUGAAAGCAUUUUGUGUUACAACCUAUCAACAAAAAUCAACUAAUAGUUUUAUAACGUGCAUAGGUUUACCCCAUGGGGAAUUAAAAUUUUUAUCUGCAAGUAUUUCUGUUGUUGUGAGACUUUAGGACAAGACAACAUUUGGUGUUAACAUAGAAGAAUAUUCUAUGGCUUUUUUAGCUUUAAAGUUCAUUACUCUAAAAUAAAGUACACGUGGUAUUUUUUUCUUCCUAGUGUUCUCUUAUUAUAUGUAGAGUAUUUUCGGUUGUUGUUUUUAACGUAUACAUUAUUUUUAUUAAGUCAUUUCAUAAAAGAUAAGAUAUAUACUAAUAGACCCUUGGUUUUCUCCUAAUUUAAUUAUUUCAAGUCAAGCAAAAUUGGGCAAUUUUCUUUCAGGAAAAAAAAAAUAUUGAGCAUGAUUUUGAGGUAAAACUGAUUAUUUACAGCAUCUUUUCUCUAAUAGGCUAACAUUUAUGAUGGAUCUUAUUUCAAAGUUGAUUAUUCUCAAAGAAAAGUGGAGAUAUUAGAAUUUCCGAGUAAAUUGCAUUGUUUUAAAAAGUACUUUAAUGCAUUGUUCACAUUGUUGCCAGCUAUUGACCAAAAAAGAGAAGAAGAAAAAAGAAAUAAAAAAAGCAGUAUCUGCUCCAAACGUCAAGUUUUGCAGUUUGAAAGACUUGUACAUUAUAAUUGUUUUUUUCUUUUUUGGAAAGCAGUAGUAAUUAAUACCAAAGGCAUAGACAAUUUAGGGCCAUAACCUCCCUUCCCCCCUCUCCACCUUUUUUUUUUUUUUUUUUUUUUUUUAACUUUAACCAUGAUAGGCAUCUCUGCAAGGUAGGUUUUAACAUAUUUUUUUCCUAAUUUUUUUCCCUCCAUUCAGUAAGAAGGAUAAGCUUUUAGAGUACCCAGUCACCGUGGUAACUGCCAAAAAAAUUCUCCUGAAGUUUGAAGAGGUCAGCUAGCAGGGUCAACAACCCUGGCCUCUCUCUGAGCUCGGUCUAGCAUGCCCCAGCCUGCGGUUGGAGUGUCAGGCCAGAUCUGACCCUGGGAGGUGGACCAUUCUGGCUCUGAUAUAAAUUUUUCGAGUCAGUUCAUGGCCUGGACUCUCCAGGUGGCCUCCAAAAUCGAUUUUGACCCCCUGACCCUGUCUCACGGAGGCAUAGCAUCCACCCUAAGUAAGGAUUUAGCCAGGAAUGACAGCUUUCCACUGAGUGUUAUUGGGGACAGUAUAAACAGUUUGGAAAGCAAGUAAGGAGGUGUGAGGGCUAGCAAUCAUUAAAAGCACAUUAAAAAACAAUUUUUAAAAAUCUUUAUUAGAGAAAGUUGUAAAUGCAUAUCUGUUACAGAAUUCCUGUGAUUUGUAGAGUUUUCUAGUCAGUUUUGAAUAUAAAUAGGUCACAUAUCUUUAUCUUUUUGCAUACUUUGUUACAAAUAUGCAAAUAAGAUAGGCAUACUUGCUACAAAAUAGGUACAGCAGGAAUGUAAUAUGUUCAGAAAAGGCAAACUGGUUAUUAAAACACAUUAACAGGUAAGGAGUUUCUAAUAUUUUAAAUACUAAAAUUUUACAUGUGUAUUUUGAAGUUUUUAAAAUGGAAAAAUAAAGAACCUUUAAAAAACCCAACAGUGUGGAAUAAAGAUAAACUUGUUGCACUCAAGGUACAUUUCUACUUUGUAAAGCAAGAAGCCAAUACACUCAGUUGGAUAAAAAUGAGAGAAAAAUUGUAAAUAUAGAGAGUUACAGCUUAUAGAGCUGAAGAGGAAUAAAACAAAAAAAAGUGUCUCUGAAUAACUUUAUGUAUUUUCAACAGUUUAAGAUAUCAGAAACUUGGAAAAUAAAUAUGAUAUAUAUAUAAAUCAUCA